UUUUUUUUUUUUUUUUUUUUUUUUUCCCUCCCAUCCCUUUAUUUAAACCAAACAUGCCACAAACAUCCCUUGGAAUAAAAUUGGAAUCCAAAUUGACUUUUCUGGAACAAUGUUAAAAAAAUUAAGAAAUUGAUAUAUAUAUAUAUAUAUAUUAAAAAAUGAAUAAAUGUAAUUCGACUUCAUUUUAGAAGGCUUCGGCGGACCUUUUGAAGAAAAAAGUGAUCCGCAAAAGCGGUGUUUUCGAGCGCGGAAUCUGACAACCACUUCGUGCCCGUCGACUUCGAGGAAAGAAUCCCUACUAUCGAGGAACGAAUUGCUUGCAUUGAAGGGUCUAUCUGAUCUGUGUUCAGCGGUUCUGCAAUUGGAAUUGGGAAGUGGUUUGCAUUCCUGGUGUGGUUAGGGUUAUUGAUUUUGUGGGUAAAAGUUAGUUAGGGAGGGACAUUCAGAACUAGUACGAAUUCGCAUGAAAACAAGGGAAGGGAAGAAAUGAAAAAAUAAAAUAAAAUAAAAAUAAAAAAUCGAGUGGGAGAGAAUGGUUGGUUGGUUAUUCAGAGUCAAGAGGACAGGUCGUUUGAGGGAAAUUUGAGUGUUGUGUGACAAUUCUCUCUUUAAAAGUGGGCCGUGGCCCAAGUUUGAGGGCUUUUUUUGAUAGGUUAGUUUGGCCCACUCACCAACCACUUUUUUAGCCUAAGCCCAAAUUUAUAUAACCAAAGCCUAAUCCAAUUACUUAAGGGUUUUGUUAUAUAGAUAAAUUUGAGGUUGAGCAGAACCGAUUGGACGAUAGCAGAGAGUGUGAGAAGAGAAGAGAAGAGAAGAGAAGAGAAGAGAGGGAGUGAACCGGGUGCUCCAGCCGACCUCCGACCUGCUUGCGCCGAAUUAUUAUCUAUUUUUUUAAAUAUAUUUUUAAGACCCUAGUACCAUUAUUAGGCCAUUGAACUAUAUAUUAAUCAAAUUUAUAAACUCUAUAUUAUUAUUA